rnacentral:rRNA from 1 species
UACGUAGGGUGCGAGCGUUGUCCGGAAUUAUUGGGCGUAAAGAGCUCGUAGGCGGUCUGUCGCGUCGGUCGUGAAAACUUGGGGCUUAACCCUGAGCUUGCGGUCGAUACGGGCAUGACUGGAGUUCGGCAGGGGAGACUGGAAUUCCUGGUGUAGCGGUGAAAUGCGCAGAUAUCAGGAGGAACACCGGUGGCGAAGGCGGGUCUCGUGGGCCGAUGACUGACGCUGAGGAGCGAAAGCGUGGGGAGCGGACAGG